rnacentral:rRNA from 1 species
UGGGGAAUAUUGCACAAUGGGGGAAACCCUGAUGCAGCGACGCCGCGUGAGCGAUGAAGGCUUUCGAGUCGUAAAGCUCUGUCCUAUGGGAAGAUAAUGACGGUACCAUAGAAGAAAGCCCCGGCUAAUUACGUGCCAGCAGCCGCGGUAAUACGUAAGGGGCGAGCGUUGUCCGGAAUUAUUGGGCGUAAAGAGUGCGUAGGCGGCAAAUUAAGUCAGAUGUGAAAACUAAGGGCUCAACCCAUAGAUUGCAUCUGAAACUGAUAUGCUUGAGUCAAGGAGAGGAAAGUGGAAUUCCUAGUGUAGCGGUGGAAUGCGUAGAUAUUAAAAAGAAUACCGGUGGCGAAGGCGACUUACUGGGCUCAUUCUGACGCUGAGGAACGAAAGCGUGGGUAGCAAACAGG